UCUUGGCUUCCAGCCGCUGGGCUUCCUGCCUUGGGAACGCGGGCACGUGGCCCCCAUGGCCGAACCCAGGCCCACAAGGGCCAAGCUGCCCCACAGGCGAGAGCUGUCAGCACAGAACCUUACUCACCUGUGAGUCACAAUCCCUCCCGGUUCUCAAAACACAUCAUCAGCCUGAUUUCCCUCUCCCGGACCCAGGAACCAAAGCGCACUUCCCCACCCCGUGACAGCCCGAGGUCCGCGGCCUGUCCCCAGCACAAAGGGCCGGGAGGUCCUUCUGGACUGAACAGCACCAGCGCUCAGCACAGACAGGCCGGGCCGCAGGGAGCUGCUGAGCUCGCGUGGAUCCAGCCCCAGGCUAAGCGACCCCGGUGGCGCUGCUUCCAGGAGCACUAACCCCAUUGCAAAAGAUGGCCUGCGGGGUGGCCGCGGGCAGGGGCUCGAGAGAACAUGAGCUUCUGCCGUUUUGGUGCAAAAAGUAAGACCUCAGUAGCAGCGUUUCUAAAAUGUUGUCAGCCACACCAGGCUCUCUCCCCGGC